rnacentral:lncRNA from 13 species
GCUAGAAAAGGCAAGGAACAGACUCCCUCUUGAAAAUUCCAGAAGAAAUGGGCUGUGCAAAUACCCCAUAGGACUUAUUUUGGCCCUCUUAUCUCCAGAGCUGGCUAAACAAUGCUUCCUGGAGGAAGGAGGACUCAAGAUGGCGCUGUGAGAACAACCCAGGAUUGGAGCUUGCACUGAAUCCACAAAGAGUUAUAACAAGAGGAGAUGAAAUAAUUCACCUGGAGUAGAAGCAUUGAGACCUUUCACAGAAUUGUCACAAAGGUGAAACUUGACCUCGGUGCCUAGGCUUGUCCCUUCCAUCUGGCCCUGUCCUCUAGGUCUAUGUCAAGUCAAAGGGCCUCAUUCUCAGAGCUGUCUUUUUUUUUUUUUGAGACAGAGUCUUGCUUUGUCGCAGGUGUCACACUGUAGUGCAGUGGCACAAUCUCGGCUCACUGCAAUCUCCGCCUCCUGGGUUUAAGCAAUUCUCCUGUCUCAGCCUCCUGAGUAGCUGAGACUACAGGUGCAAGCCACCACGCCCAGCUAUUUUUUUUGUUGUUGUUUUUUUUGGUAGAGACGGGGUUUCAUCAUGUUGACCAGGAUGGUCUUGAUGUCUUCACCUUGCGAUCCGCCGGCAUCGGCCUCCCAAAGUGCUAGGAUUACAGGUGUGAGCCACUGUGCCCGGCCUUCGGAGCUGCUUCUUAAUUGGCUGGAGUGCAAUGGCGCGAUCUUGGCUCACCGCAACCUCCGCUUCCUGGGUUCAGGCAAUUCUCCUGCCUCAGCCUCCUGAGUAGCUGGGAUUACAGUUUAUACAUCUGUGAUUAUUUUCCACCUUGUUGAAACACAUCUUUAAGAAGUUCCUGAAGUAAAGAAUUGUUAGCGGUAAACUCCAUUUUUGUUUAUCUGAAAAUGACUCCAUUUCACUCUGAUUUUUGAAAAGUAAUUGUUCAAGAUUUUAAAAAUGUUCAAUUAUAGUUAUAUCAUCCCAGCACUUGCUGUUGAUAAUUCUUCUGUUGGUCUAAUUUUUAGUCUUUAUCAAAUUUUUUGCAUU